UACGGUCAUAUCACAUUGAAACACUAGUUCCUGUACGAUUACUGAAGUUAAGCAACGUCGAGCCUGGUCAGUACCUAGAAGGUUGACCGUUUGUGAAUACCAAGUGC